rnacentral:rRNA from 1 species
UACGAAGGGGGCUAGCGUUGCUCGGAAUCACUGGGCGUAAAGCGCACGUAGGCGGAUUGCUAAGUCAGGGGUGAAAUCCUGGAGCUCAACUCCAGAACUGCCUUUGAUACUGGCGAUCUCGAGUCCGGGAGAGGUGAGUGGAACUGCGAGUGUAGAGGUGAAAUUCGUAGAUAUUCGCAAGAACACCAGUGGCGAAGGCGGCUCACUGGCCCGGUACGUGACGCUGAGGUGCGAAAGCGGUGGGGAGCGAACGAGG